rnacentral:tRNA from 1 species
GGCGCUUUCUUCUAAUCGGCCAGGAACCCGGAUUCUCAAUCCGGAAAUCAGGGUUCGAAUCCCUGAAGCGUCACCA